rnacentral:rRNA from 1 species
CCUACAUGAAGUCGGAAUCGCUAGUAAUCGCGGAUCAGCAUGCCGCGGUGAAUACGUUCCCGGGCCUUGUACACACCGCCCGUCACACCAUGAGAGUUUGUAACACCCAAAGCCGGUGGGGUAACCUUUUGGAGCCAGCCGUCUAAGGUGGGACAGAUGAUUGGGGUGAAGUCGUAACAAGGUAUC